AACGAACGCUGGCGGCAGGCUUAACACAUGCAAGUCGAAUGCCCCGCAAGGGGAGUGGCAGACGGGUGAGUAACGCGUGGGAACGUGCCCUUCGCUUCGGAAUAGUCCCGGGAAACUGGGUUUAAUACCGGAUACGCCGUAUUGGGAAAGAUUUAUCGGCGAAGGAUCGGCCCGCGUUGGAUUAGCUAGUUGGCGGUGUAAUGGACCACCAAGGCGACGAUCCAUAGCUGGUCUGAGAGGAUGAUCAGCCACACUGGGACUGAGACACGGCCCAGACUCCUACGGGAGGCAGCAGUGGGGAAUCUUGGACAAUGGGCGCAAGCCUGAUCCAGCCAUGCCGCGUGAGUGAAGAAGGCCUUAGGGUUGUAAAACUCUUUCGCCGGAGAAGAUAAUGACGGUAGUCGGAGAAGAAGCCCCGGCUAACUUCGUGCCAGCCGCCGCAGUAACAC
rnacentral:rRNA from 1 species